rnacentral:rRNA from 1 species
GAUGAACGCUGGCGGCGUGCCUAAUACAUGCAAGUCGAGCGAACAGAUGAGGAGCUUGCUCCUCUGACGUUAGCGGCGGACGGGUGGGUAACACGUGGAUAACCUACCUAUAAGACUGGGAUAACUUCGGGAAACCAGAGCUAAUACCGGAUAAUAUAUUGAACCGCAUGGUUCAAUAGUGAAAGACGGUUUUGCUGUCACUUAUAGAUGGAUCCGCGCCGCAUUAGCUAGUUGGUAAGGUAACGGCUUACCAAGGCAACGAUGCGUAGCCGACCUGAGAGGGUGAUCGGCCACACUGGAACUGAGACACGGUCCAGACUCCUACGGGAGGCAGCAGUAGGGAAUCUUCCGCAAUGGGCGAAAGCCUGACGGAGCAACGCCGCGUGAGUGAUGAAGGUCUUCGGAUCGUAAAACUCUGUUAUUAGGGAAGAACAAAUGUGUAAGUAACUAUGCACGUCUUGACGGUACCUAAUCAGAAAGCCACGGCUAACUACGUG